UUCCUAUUUCGAAAGUUCAUUCCCAUUUCGAAACUUCAUUGUCACCUUGAAUCAUACACUUCGCGCACACUUAUUCGUCUCGAAGCACACUUCACGCACACUCUCGUUCCGAGAGCCUCCAUGCGCGCACACUCGUCUGAGCCUCUAACGACGACAGGCCUCCACGAUUUGUCAGAUGGGACGAAGGAGCCGUCUACUACAGCGACCAAGCGUUCGCCGGAGACGACGGUGCCGACGCCUGUGGGGAGGCUGGCACGGAUUCGAACCACUCCCUCCUCCAGAAAUUCAAGGAGUUCAUUCGAAACUUCGAGACCGCCAACAACGUCUUCCCUUACAGAGAGACCCUACUCCACAACCCUAAGUUCCUUCUCGUCGAUACGGGAGAUCUCGUCACGUUCGACUUCGACCUUUCUGCCAAAAUCCGCUCUUCCCCUGCCGAUUUGCCCCUGUUUGAAACGGCAGCGGCGCAAGUUAACGUGAGUUUGAACACCAAGGUUGCUAGAGAUACUAGAGCCAUGGAGGAUCCUAUUCUCGGUGAUCUUCAGAUUUUGCUCACCUCCAAGGAGGAUCUGAUUUCCAUGAGAUCUCUUGGGGCUCAGUACAUAUAGAGACUUGUCAAAAUCGUCGGGAUUACUAUUGUUGCCUCUAGGACUAAGGCAAAGGCUACUUAUGUUACCCUGAUAUGUAAAAACCAUAAGGGGAAGCAGGUUCCAUGCCGGCCAGGACUUGGAGGAGCCAUUGUUCCUCGAUCCUGUGAUCAUGUUCCUCAGGUUUAGUUCAUGUUUAUAUUCACUGUCUUUGCUUGUUUGGUGUUAUAUGCUUAUGAUUUACUUACGAGAUAAGGGGCUUCUAUAGCCUGGAGAAGAGCCUGGCCUAAUUGAUCCCUGACUUGUGGUCCCUGACUUGAGUAGCCUGGACAAGAGCAUAAUUAUAAGCUUUUACCUUCACCUAUCUUGCUUGAGUAGUCAUUGAUUUAUGUUGUGUACUUCAGCGUGAGUUUUAUCUUGAAGGAGGAGCCAUGGUCUUGGCUGAUGGAGGUGUUGUAUGUAUUGAUGAGUUUGAUAAAAUAUAAGUACGCAGUAUUUUGUCAUAUUCUUAUGUAAGUCGCAACUGUAAAUUUUUUAUGAAACUUCAUAUAUUGUUUUUUAUGCAGAGUUGUUAUUCAUGAAGCCAUGGAACAGCAAACAAUAUCCAUUGCAAAGCGGGAAUCACAGUUGUACUUAACACACAGACUUAGUAUUUU